rnacentral:rRNA from 1 species
UGGGGAAUUUUGGACGAAUUGGGCGAAAGCCUGAUCCAGCAAUGCCGCGUGUGUGAAGAAGGCCUUCGGGUUGUAAAGCACUUUUGUCCGGAAAGAAAUCCUUGGCUCUAAUACAGUCGGGGGAUGACGGUACCGGAAGAAUAAGCACCGGCUAACUACGUGCCAGCAGCCGCGGUAAUACGUAGGGUGCAAGCGUUAAUCGGAAUUACUGGGCGUAAAGCGUGCGCAGGCGGUUUGCUAAGACCGAUGUGAAAUCCCCGGGCUCAACCUGGGAACUGCAUUGGUGACUGGCAGGCUAGAGUAUGGCAGAGGGGGGUUAGAAUUCCACGUGUAGCAGUGAAAGUGCGUAGAGAUGUGGAGGAAUACCGAUGGCGAA